rnacentral:rRNA from 1 species
GAAAGAUGGUUCUGCUAUCACUCUUGGAUGGACCUGCGGUGCAUUAGCUAGUUGGUAAGGUAACGGCUUACCAAGGCAAUGAUGCAUAGCCGAGUUGAGAGACUGAUCGGCCACAUUGGGACUGAGACACGGCCCAAACUCCUACGGGAGGCAGCAGUAGGGAAUCUUCCACAAUGGACGAAAGUCUGAUGGAGCAACGCCGCGUGAGUGAAGAAGGGUUUCGGCUCGUAAAGCUCUGUUGGUAGUGAAGAAAGAUAGAGGUAGUAACUGGCCUUUAUUGACGGUAAUUACUUAGAAAGUCACGGCUAACUACGUGCCAGCAGCCGCGGUAAUACGUAGGUGGCAAGCGUUGUCCGGAUUUAUUGGGCGUAAAGCGAGUGCAGGCGGUUCAAUAAGUCUGAUGUGAAAGCCUUCGGCUCAACCGGAGAAUUGCAUCAGAAACUGUUGAACUUGAGUGCAGAAGAGGAGAGUGGAACUCCAUGUGUAGCGGUGGAAUGCGUAGAUAUAUGGAAGAACACCAGUGGCGAAGGCGGCUCUCUGGUCUGCAACUGACGCUGAGGCUCGAAAGCAUGGGUAGCGAACAGGAUUAGAUACCCUGGUAGUCCAUGCCGUGAACGAUGAGUGCUAAGUGUUGGGAGGUUUCCGCCUCUCA